rnacentral:rRNA from 1 species
GGGGAUUCGACUAAGCCAUGCAAGUCAAGGGGGCGUAAGCCACCGGCAGACUGCUGAGUAACACGUCGAUAACUUACCCUUUGGAGGUGGAUAAUCUCGGGAAACUGAGUGUAAUACACCAUAGGAGAUUCUGGCUGGAAUGCUUAAUCUCCAAAAACUCCGGUGCCAAAGGAUAGGUCGGCGGCCGAUUAGGUUGUUGGCGGUGUAAUGGACCACCAAGCCUUAGAUCGGUAGGGGCCUUGAGAGAGGGAGCCCCCAGAAGGACACUGAGAUACAGGUCCUAGCCCUACGGGGUGCAGCAGGCGCGAAAACUCCACACUGCACGAAAGUGCGAUGGGGGGAUCCCCAGUGCUCAAGCAUUGCUUGGGCUUUUGUUAAAUGUACAAAGUUUAGCGAAUAAGGGGUGGGCAAGACUGGUGCCAGCCGCCGCGGUAACACCAGCGCCCCGAGUGGCAACCACAUUUAUUGGGCCUAAAGCGUUCGUAGCCGGUUUGAUAAAUCUUCUGUGAAAUUGUCUUACUAAAUAGGAUAGCGUGCAGGAGACACUGUCAGACUAGGGACCGGGAGGAGUCAGAGGUAUGCAAUGGGGAGCGGUAAAAUGCUAUAAUCCAUUGCCGACCACCUGUGGCGAAGGCGUCUGACUAGAACGGAUCCGACGGUGAGGGACGAAAGCUAGGGGAGCAAACCGGAUUAGAUACCCGAGUAGUCCUAGCAGUAAACGCUGCGGGCUAGGUGUCGCAUAUUCUUCGUGAAUAUGCGGUGUCGUAGCGAAGGCGUUAAGCCCGCCGCCUGGGGAGUACGGUCGCAAGGCUGAAACUUAAAGGAAUUGGCGGGGGAGCACUACAAGGGGUGCGGCGUGCGGUUUAAUCUAAUUCAACGCAGAGAAUCUCACCAGAGGCGACGGCAGGAUGAAGGUCAGUCCAAAUGGCUUACCUGACGAGCCGAGAGGUAGUGCAUGGCCGCCGUCAGCUCGUGCCGUGAGGUGUCCUGUUAAGUCAGGUAACGAGCGAGACCUGUAUCUCUAAUUGCUAACGGCUUUAGGACCGAGUACAUUAGAGGGACUGCCUGGGAAACCAGGAGGAAGGUGCAGGCAACGGUAGGUCUGUAUGCUCCGAAUCCUCUGGGCUACACGCGCGCAACAAUGGUAGGGACAAUGGGAUGCGACCCCGAGAGGGGAAGCCAAUCCUCUAAACCCUAUCCAAGUCCAGAUUGAGCGUUGGAACUCACGCUCAUGACGAUGGAAUCCCUAGUAAUCGGGUCUCAUCACAGCCCGGUGAAUAUGUCCCUGCUCCUUGCACACACCGCCCGUCAAACCACUCGAGCAGGGUUUAGGUGAGGUCUGACUUUAAGGUCAGUUCGAACCUAAGCUUUGUGAGAUGGGUUAAGUCGUCACAAGGUA